rnacentral:tRNA from 1 species
GUGGGUAUAGCUGAGGGGUAAGAGUGCCUGCUUGGCAUGCAGGAGGUCCUGAGUUUAAUCUCCAGUACCUCCG